rnacentral:rRNA from 1 species
GACGUAGGGCGCGAGCGUUGUCCGGAUUUAUUGGGCGUAAAGAGCUCGUAGGCGGCUUGUUGCGUCGACUGUGAAAACCCGCGGCUCAACCCCAGUCCUGCUUCCGAUACGGGUGGACUAGAGGUAUGCAGGGGAGAACGGAAUUCCUGGUGUAGCGGUGAAAUGACGCAGAUAUCAGGAGGAACACCGAUGGCGAAGGCAGGUCUCUGGGCAUUAACUGAGUGAGAGCGAAAGCAUGGGGAGCGAACAGG